GGGUAGCAAUACCCAGUGGCAGACGGGUGAGUAACAUGUGGGUACCUUCCCUUUGGUGAGGAAUAACACGAGGAAACUUGUGCUAAUACCUCAUAAGUCUUUACGGAGAAAGCUUUAUGCGCCAAUGGAUGGGCCUGCACUUGAUUAGUUAGUUGGUAAGGUAAUGGCUUACCAAGACUUUGAUCAAUAGCUGAUUUGAGAGGAUGAUCAGCCACAUUGGGACUGAGACACGGUCCAAACUCCUACGGGAGGCAGCAGUAGGGAAUCUUGCACAACGGAGGAAACUCUGAUGCAGCGAUGCCGCGUGAGUGAAGAAGGCCCUUGGGUUGUAAAGCUCUUUCGUCGGGGAAGAAAAUGACUGUACCCGAAUAAGAAGGUCCGGCUAACUUCGUGCCAGCAGCCGCGGUAAUACGAAGGGACCUAGCGUAGUUCGGAAUUACUGGGCUUAAAGAGUUCGUAGGCGGUUAAAAAAGUUGGUGGUGAAAUCCCAGAGCUUAACUCUGGAACUGCCAUCAAAACUUUUUAGCUAGAGUAUGAUAGAGGAAAGCAGAAUUUCUAGUGUAGAGGUGAAAUUCGUAGAUAUUAGAAAGAAUACCAAUUGCGAAGGCAGCUUUCUGGAUCAUUACUGACGCUGAGGAACGAAAGCAUGGGUAGCGAAGAGGAUUAGAUACCCUCGUAGUCCAUG
rnacentral:rRNA from 1 species